rnacentral:rRNA from 1 species
GACGAACGCUGGCGGCGUGCCUAACAAAUGCAAGUCGAGCGAGGUUAUUCUUUAGGGGAUAAACUAGCGGCGGACGGGUGAGUAACACGUGGGUAACCUGCCUUAUAGAGGGGGAUAGCCUUCCGAAAGGAAGAUUAAUACCGCAUAACAUAAAGCUUUAGCAUGGAAGUUUGAUAAAAGGAGUAAUCCGCUAUAAGAUGGACCCGCGGCGCAUUAGCUAGUUGGUGAGGUAACGGCUCACCAAGGCGACGAUGCGUAGCCGACCUGAGAGGGUGAUCGGCCACAUUGGAACUGAGACACGGCCCAGACUCCUACUGGAGGCAGCAGUGUGGAAUAUUGCACAAUGGGGGAAACCUUGAUGCAGCAACGCCGCGUGAGUGAUGAAGGCCUUCGGGUUGUAAAGCUCUGUCUUUUGGGACGAUAAUGACGGUACCCAAGGAGGAAGCCACGGCUAACUACGUGCCAGCCGCCGCAGUAAGAC